GUGUCAGCCGCCGCGGUAAUACGGAGGGGGCGAGUGUUGUUCGGAAUUACUGGGCGUAAAGGGCGCGCAGGCGGCCUGGCAAGUCGAGUGUGAAAUCCCUUGGCUUAACUGAGGAAUGGCGCUCGAAACUACCUCGCUGGAGGGCGGGAGAGGGAAGUGGAACUCUCGGUGUAGGGGUGAAAUCUGUAGAUAUCGAGAGGAACACCGGUGGCGAAGGCGGCUUCCUGGCCCGUACCUGACGCUGAGGCGCGAAAGCGUGGGGAGCAAACAGGAUUAGAAACCCUAGUAGUCC
rnacentral:rRNA from 1 species